rnacentral:rRNA from 1 species
UACGUAGGGUGCAAGCGUUAAUCGGAAUUACUGGGCGUAAAGCGUGCGCAGGCGGUUUUGUAAGUCUGUCGUGAAAGCCCCGGGCUCAACCUGGGAAUUGCGAUGGAGACUGCAAGGCUUGAAUCUGGCAGAGGGGGGUAGAAUUCCACGUGUAGCAGUGAAAUGCGUAGAGAUGUGGAGGAACACCGAUGGCGAAGGCAGCCCCCUGGGUCAAGAUUGACGCUCAUGCACGAAAGCGUGGGGAGCAACCAGG